GAUGAACGCUGGCGGCGUGCCUAAUACAUGCAAGUCGAGCGAACGGACGAGAAGCUUGCUUUUCUGAUGUUAGCGGCGGACGUGUGAGUAACACGUGGAUAACCUACCUAUAAGACUGUGAUAACUUCGGGAAACCGGAGCUCAUAUCGGAUAAUAUUUUGAACCGCAUGGUUCAAAAGUGAAAGACGUUCUUGCUGUCACUUAUAGAUGGAUCCGCGCUGCAUUAGCUAGUUGGUAAGGUAACGGCUUAUCAAGGCAACGAUGCAUAGCCGACCUGAGAGGGCGAUCGGACACACUGGAACUGAGACACGGUCCAGACUCCUACGGGAGGCAGCAGUAGGGAAUCUUCCGCAAUGGGCGAAAGCCUGACGGAGCAACGCCGCGUGAGUGAUGAAGGUCUUCGGAUCGUAAAACUCUGUUAUUAGGGAAGAACAUAUGUGGAAGUAAAUGUGCACAUCUUGACGGUACCUAAUCAGAAAGCCACGGCUAACUACGUG
rnacentral:rRNA from 1 species